CCCUGCACCGGGGCAUGCUGAUCUGCUGGCUCUGGGGUGGUGCAAAGAAGGUGACACGAGGCCGUGUUUGGCCCUGCUUCUCCAUGACCCCUGUCUCUGCUCUUGGUGGUCAGUUGUUGUCAUGGUGACCUUGGCAGGUGGCCUGUCAGAAGUCCCCUCCAAACUCUGCCUCGGUGACACAGGGGUCCAACAGCUUCUCCUGCCCUUCAUCCACUGCACCAGCACCAUCCCUGAUGUCUGCCUGGGGUAGUGACCAGGCUCUGUCCCCACAUGGAGCAUCCGUGUGUCCCCCGAAGGACACCCCCACUGCCUGCAUCUGCAGCUGCUGGGCUCAGUGACAGCCAGGACCACGGCGUGGGGACACGGGGGGUCCAGUCCUGCCACCCCAGCACAGAGCCCAGGAGCAGCUCCUGGCAGCACGGUCAGGCCAGUGCCAGGUCCAGCACCAGCAGAUCCGGAUGCUCAGCUCUGCAGCCAGGAUGGUGCCCCAUGUUUAUGGAAAUGGACUAGGAGAAACACUGCUGCUCUGAGUACAAACAAGCUGUUGUGACCUCUUGGCAAGAAAUCCAGGGAAAGCCAGCAGCAGUUCUUCCAGAGCCAUGCUGGAGGGCUGAAAAUAAACUCACAUCUGAGGAGCUGGAACAUGAAGUCUGUGCUGCUGAAAGUACAGAGGAUUUGAGAUACCCCAGCGAGUAGUGAAUUUUACUAUUAAUAAAAUCAGCACAGUUUUCACA